ACUAACAAGGAUUCCCCUAGUAACUGCGAGUGAAGCGGGAAAAGCUCAAAUUUAAAAUCUGAGGGUCCUUGCGGCCUUCCGAGUUGUAAUCUAGAGAAGUGUUAUCCGCGCUGGACCGUGUACAAGUCUCCUGGAACGGAGCGUCAUAGAGGGUGAGAAUCCCGUCUUUGACACGGACUACCAGGGCUUAUGUGAUGCGCUCUCAAAGAGUCGAGUUGUUUGGGAAUGCAGCUCUAAAUGGGUGGUAAAUUCCAUCUAAAGCUAAAUAUUGGCGAGAGACCGAUAGCGAACAAGUACCGUGAGGGAAAGAUGAAAAGAACUUUGGAAAGAGAGUUAAACAGUACGUGAAAUUGUUGAAAGGGAAACGCUUGAAGUCAGUCGCGUUGUCCAGAAAUCAACCUUGCUUUCUUGCUUGGCGUAAUUUCUGGUUAACGGGUCAGCAUCAAUUUUGACCGGUGGAUAAAGGCCAGGGGAAUGUGGCAUCUUCGGAUGUGUUAUAGCCCUUGGUUGCAUACAUCGGUUGGGAUUGAGGAACUCAGCAUGCCGCAAGGCCGGGUUUUUAACCACGUACGUGCUUAGGAUGCUGGCAUAAUGGCUUUAAUCGACCCGUCUUGAAACACGGACCAAGGAGUCUAACAUGCACGCGAGUGUUUGGGUGGAAAACCCGAGCGCGUAAUGAAAGUGAAAAUUGAGAUCCCUGUCGUGGGGUGCAUCAAUGCCCGGACCUGACCUUUUGUGACGGAUCCGCGGUUGAGCGUGUAUGCUGGGACCCGAAAGAUGGUGAACUAUGCCUGAAUAGGGUGAAGCCAGAGGAAACUCUGGUGGAGGCUCGUAGCGAUUCUGACGUGCAAAUCGAUCGUCAAAUUUGGGUAUAGGGGCGAAAGACUAAUCGAACCAUCUAGUAGCU
rnacentral:rRNA from 1 species